rnacentral:lncRNA from 1 species
UCACUAUUGAGGGUCCCGGCAUUGAAGCCGAACACUGCAGGAUUGAGAACAGAGGAGGGGUCAUCACUCUUGACCCAUGCAGACACCUGUGUUCACUCGAUGGAGUUCCUGUUACCAGACCCACACAACUUGAGCAAGGUUACACACUCUGUUUGGGUAAAUCUUAUAUCUUUCGCUUUAACCAUCCUGAGGAGGCCAACCGUAUGAAAAGCAUGCUGCCUCAGAAGAGCCCUGUCUCUCCGCUGGUGUACAGCACAGAUUAUCUGAAGUUCAGCAGUGACUUCAGUCGUUGUCUGGGUGUCUCUGGCUCUAGAGGGAUGCGCUCCGUCUCCGAACUGCGGGAUUUGAUGGACACUUUACAAAAAAAGAAGCAGGCAUUGGAGAACAGCUUGCGAGCCAAUGGGGAUUCAAGCACCUCCUACUUCAGCAUGACACAGUCUCCUCCCACCACACCCAAUUUGCUGUCACCCAUCAUCACGUCCUCCCCAAUAUCCUAUCAAGAACAAACACGCCGAUUGUACAGCUCCGAAAGGCCACCACUUGCGGCCAAAGUGCCAGGACAUUCGUCCAGCGGCAUGCCUCCAUCUCCUCGCUCUCUCUCUCUCUCUCUCUCUCU